rnacentral:rRNA from 1 species
CGGAGGAUCCAAGCGUUAUCCGGAAUCAUUGGGUUUAAAGGGUCCGUAGGCGGUUUGGUAAGUCAGUGGUGAAAGCCCAUCGCUCAACGGUGGAACGGCCAUUGAUACUGCCAGACUUGAAUUAUUAGGAAGCAACUAGAAUAUGUAGUGUAGCGGUGAAAUGCUUAGAGAUUACAUGGAAUACCAAUUGCGAAGGCAGGUUGCUACUAAUGGAUUGACGCUGAUGGACGAAAGCGUGGGUAGCGAACAGGAUUAGAUACCCUGGUAGUCCACGCCGUAAACGAUGGAUACUAGCUGUUGGGAGCGAUCUCAGUGGCUAAGCGAAAGUGAUAAGUAUCCCACCUGGGGAGUACGUUCGCAAGAAUG